GAUGAAGAACGCAGCGAAAUGCGAUACGUAAUGUGAAUUGCAGAAUUCAGUGAAUCAUCGAAUCUUUGAACGCAUAUUGCGCUCUCUGGUAUUCCGGAGAGCAUGCUUGUUUGAGUAUCAGUAAACACCUCAACUUCCAUAUCUUUUUUGAAAUGGGAGCUGGACUUGAGUGAUCCCAACGCUUUUCCUCACCGAAAAGUGGCGGGUUACUUGAAAUGCAGGUGCAGCUGGACUUUUCUCUGAGCUAUAAGCAUAUCUAUUUAGUCUGCCUAAAAAACAGAUUAUUACCUUUGCUGCAGCUAACAUAAAGGAGAUUAGUUCUUGUGCUGACUGAUGCAGGAUUCACAAAGACAGGCUUCGGCCGACUUUGUAAACUCGAUCUCAAAUCAAGUAAGACUACCCGCUGAACUAAAGCAUAUCAAUAAGCGGAGGA
rnacentral:misc_RNA from 1 species